rnacentral:rRNA from 1 species
AUUGAACGCUGGCGGAAUGCUUUACACAUGCAAGUCGAACGGCAGCACGGGGGCAACCCUGGUGGCGAGUGGCGAACGGGUGAGUAAUACAUCGGAACGUGCCCGGUCGUGGGGGAUAACGUAGCGAAAGUUACGCUAAUACCGCAUACGAUCUGAGGAUGAAAGCGGGGGACCUUCGGGCCUCGCGCGAUCGGAGCGGCCGAUGUCAGAUUAGGUAGUUGGUGGGGUAAAGGCCUACCAAGCCGACGAUCUGUAGCUGGUCUGAGAGGACGACCAGCCACACUGGGACUGAGACACGGCCCAGACUCCUACGGGAGGCAGCAGUGGGGAAUUUUGGACAAUGGGCGCAAGCCUGAUCCAGCCAUUCCGCGUGCAGGACGAAGGCCUUCGGGUUGUAAACUGCUUUUGUAUGGAACGAAAAGGCGCUGGCUAAUACCUGGGGCUCAUGACGGUACCGUAAGAAUAAGCACCGGCUAACUACGUG